rnacentral:rRNA from 1 species
UACAGAGGUCUCAAGCGUUGUUCGUAUUCAUUGGGCGUAAAGGGUGCGUAGGCGGCGCGGUAAGUCGGGUGUGAAAUCUCGGAGCUUAACUCCGAAACUGCAUUCGAUACUGCUGUGCUUGAGGACUGGAGAGGAGACUGGAAUUUACGGUGUAGCGGUGAAAUGCGUAGAUAUCGUAAGGAAGACCAGUGGCGAAGGCGGGUCUCUGGACAGUUCCUGACGCUGAGGCACGAAGGCCAGGGGAGCAAACGGG